rnacentral:rRNA from 1 species
UAGGGAAUCUUCCGCAAUGGACGAAAGUCUGACGGAGCAACGCCGCGUGAGUGAAGAAGGAUUUCGGUUCGUAAAACUCUGUUGUUAGGGAAGAAAAAAUGUAUAGUAACUAUAUACAAAAGAGACGGUACCUAACCAGAAAGCCACGGCUAACUACGUGCCAGCAGCCGCGGUAAUACGUAGGUGGCAAGCGUUGUCCGGAAUUAUUGGGCGUAAAGCGCGCGCAGGUGGUUUAGAAAGUCUGAUGGGAAAGCCCACGGCUCAACCGUGGAGGGUCAUUGGAAACUAAUAAACUUGAGUGCAGGAGAGAAAAGUGGAAUUCCUAGUGUAGCGGUGAAAUGCGUAGAGAUUAGGAGGAACACCGGUGGCGAAAGCGGCUUUUUGGCCUGCAACUGACACUGAGGCGCGAAAGCGUGGGGAGCAAACAGG